GUCUAUGGCCAUACCCCCCUGAACGUACCCAAUCUUGUCUGAUCUCGGAAGCUAAGCAGGGUCAGGCCUGGUUAGUACUUGGAUGGGAGAUU
ensembl:rRNA 5S_rRNA 5S ribosomal RNA